CCCUGAAUAAGGAUCCACAGAGCUUUGCUUAGUCUGUAAGAAUAACAUGCAGUCCCAUUUCUUUUCAGUGUUGUUGUAAGCUGUAUCUUAGGACUGGAAUGCCAGUUUCAUUGCCUCUACAUACUAGGAGGUGACUCCUUUGUGAAAUAGCAUGGAAGUUCUAGUGAAGUGUAUGUGUUAUGGAUUCUGCUGGAAAUAAGCACAUUUUCUGGAAGUCAUUCUGCAGGGAUGGUGUCACUAAACUUGAGCUCACUUGUCACAAUGGAAUUUAAUUAUCUGCUGGAGAGAAGCCCUGACAGCUGUGGCGUAGGUUUUUCAAUGUGAUGUUGCCUGGAUCACAAGAAAAAUAUCAAGGGCUGGUGAGAACAGCCAUGUUCUAAAAGCAUCUCCGCCUGGGUUAGACCACUGCCUACCAAAGAGGGCUUAGGUUGGAAGCUCAGUGUUUGUGUACCACAUUGCCCCUGGGUUUGCCUUUGGCUUGUGCUUCCUGAGGGAGAGGCAGUGGGUCUGCUGCUGGUUCCUAAAACAUUGACAUCUGUGAUGGCCUUCUGUAGUGAAACCAUUUCCCUAGCAGCAGCAUCAGAGAAAUGGAAACCUAAGGGGGAAGAUUGUCCAGAGGUGACCAGAAAGGAGACAUGUGUGCACCCUUGGGAUGCUGGAGGUGGCUGAUCUGUGCUCUCUGACAGCAGUGGAGGUGCUCAAGCUGGGGCAGCAUCAGAGGAAACAGGCUUCAAGGAGCUCCAAGCUGUCCCCAGCACUCUGCUCAUCGACCCUUCUUACUUCUUUUCAGUAGCCUAAAUAAUUUUUAAAUAGUUUGGAUAUACAAUUAGAUUCACUUUAUAGAAGGGUUUAUACUGUACCUUACUUAAAUCUUAAAUUUUCUAAUGAUUGUAGCCAAUAGCAAUUAUUUUAAAAUAAUUAACACAA